UAGCCACUAUUUGUCCUUGUCUGUUUGCUGUCUUGAUGUAUUAAUUUGAUGUAAUGCGCAAGCGUUUGUAUUCUGUAGACCUGGAUCCACGGUCAUCUGUAUUCUGGGCGGCUUUGAGGAGGAGCUGAAGGGCUCUGAACUUCUCUCCCGCUACCCUGGGGGACGCCCCAGGGAUCUGUAGAGCCCGAGGGGCUCAGCACGAAUCCUAGAAAUUCGUGCGUCUGUAGGGUGGAGUUUUCACUUCCCCAUCUGAAUUAGUACUUUCGGUUUGCUGCAGCCAUCUGAAUUUGUACUUUCGGUUUGUCACCGAAGUUGCGCUUUGCGUCGCCGGCUGUCUGUUCUGUCUUUGUCAUGUCUUUGUUUUUGUAUUUUGUUUCGUUUCUGUUUGUACUCGAGUCUAAACCUGGUACCAUGGGACAGUAAACAAGUAUCCACCGCUGACCUUUGCUCUAACUUUAGAGAGAAGUUGCAGACCAAGCCGUGGAAAUCCGAGAGACGGCAAGCAGUCUGCUUCCUGGAAUGGCCACCAGGAGAAUUUAUCCAGGGAACUCCCCUACUCUGGGUAAAACCAUUUUUAUUACAGAGCAUGGUGCAGAUGUUAGCGGCAGUCUGCCCCUCCCCUGUCUCUUUUCCCAUGCAGGAGCGAAAAAAACCCAGAAAACUCUGCCUUCCUGGUACCCAGCCCGACCUCCCGCUUGCUGUUGUUGUUGUUGCGAUUGCCAAGCCCUACCCCGAAUGUGCGCUGCGCUGCGCUUGGCUAGUUCUGGUUAGUUCUCGGUGGCGAAGGGCACCGCGCUGAUGAGAGCAAUGGCUGGACUUGCCAACCGGCACCUUGGGGGUGGCCGCCGCUGGUGGGCCGCAGAUGAGGAAGAGCGCAGGCAGCCACGGGACCCUGCCAAAUGGGCCAGGGCCGUGACAGACAGGCCGAGAAGGGGGGGGGGGGGAGAAAAACAGCAGUGCGGCCAGAACACAUAGGCCCGGAUACAAACUCGUCGGGGAGCUGCGGGCCGUGCUGCCCAGACGUGGGGAGGGAGCAGCGUCGGCUCCUGCCGGAAACACAGGGGGCGGGGCCGCGUGUGUGCUGGCUCCCACGUCCUACGGAGCGGAGGCGGAGGCGGCUGCGAGCGGCGGUCCGCCUGCGCUCGCCGAUAGGAUUUGCUAAAGGAUACAAAAGAGCCAUAGAGAGAGAGAGAGUUACAAACUGGACCAGGCGAACUGCCAGGUGGCACAAAAAGGAACGCUAGGUGCGCGCCCCGAAAGGAGGGCGGAGGGCGGAGAGACGUGGGCGCGCAGCCCACAAGGAGCCUAUGUCCCGCCCGCAGCUUAAAGUUAGGGACUAUAAUAGAUUCAAAGGUUCCUACAGACCCAAUAGAGACAUAACUAAGUCUUGGGAUGAUUUGUUGACUAAUUUUCUGAGAUUUCAAUAUAUUAGGAUCCAAAGUGGCUGUGCCAGUUUACAUUUCCACCAAUGGUAAAGGAGUUUCUCUUUUACAUAGGUUAUGAGCAGUAUUUGAUCUUGAUCAUGUUAUAGGAAUAAGAUAGAGUCUCAUGAGUUAUUUUGAUUCACAUUUCUCCAAUGAUUAAAGAUGUUAUAUUUGAGAAUCUUUUAAAUAUCUUUCAGUCAUUUUAAGUCCAUCUGUUGAGAGUUUACAGUUUAGGUCUGUAACAUAAUUUUUUUUGGAUUAUUUGUUCUUAUGAGGACUAAGUUCCUAAUUUUCUUAUAAAAAUAUCUUCCCAUUCUACAGGCUGAUGUUAUGUUCUGUUGAUUAUAUCCUUUGCUAUACAGAAAGCUUCUCAGUUCUGGAGAUCUCAUUUAUUGAUUGAUUGUUUCUCUCAAUGUCUAUGCCACUGAGGCUAUGUUUAAAAAUGUAUUUAAAACCCUUUUUCUUCUAUGCGGUUCAAUAUUGUUGGUUUUAUGUUAAGCUCUUUGAUUUGUUUGGAUUUUAGUUUUGUGCAUAGAGAAAUAUGGAUCCACUUUCAUUCUUUUACAUGAUGGUGUCCAAUUAAUUCUUAAAGGGAAAAACUGACAGUCAAAAUGCUGGGCUCAUGGCAAUUCUCAGGGGGGCUACAAGGCACCCCACUAAUUCGGCCAAGGAAAGAGAGGUUCUCCAGGGGCCAGUUAGAAUCUAUGUUCCUUAAAUGUUUAAUGAAGAUUUACAGGCAUCUUACCCAACCUCUAAAGUCAACAGGCAGCGAUAGCCAUGGCUUUCAUAGGGCAGUCAACAUCAGAUAUAAGGAAGAAGUUACAGCAGAUAGAUAGGUUGCAAGACUAUACCUUGCAGAAUUUGGGGAGACAGAGAAAAUGUUAAACGAGAGACAGAAAAAAUGAAGCAAAAGAGAGAAAAGCAGAAGACAGAGAAAAGAGAAAACCGGAGGGAUCAUAGACAGGAAAUUUGGACUCAGACAGAUAGGGAGCCUGGGCAAUAGAAGAGGACCAAAGACAAAUAAAGAUAAACAGAGGCACCCCUUGGACAAAGGCUAUUGUGCUUAUUGCAAGAAAAAGGACAUUAGAUACCUCUAUAGAUUUUUUUAAGGACACAUAAAUGACUCAUUCCUCCCUGGUCAUCCCUGAAUGUAUGACCAAAGGCUUUUGCUGACCAAACGAGGGACUUUUACUUUUCCUGCUGUUUUCAGUUCUGCAGAAGAUGCAGGCUGCUUGCCUGCCUCUGCCUUCACCACACCCUCCUCACCAGGAUGACCACUGCCCCAUGCCAUCGCCACCGGAGAAAUCCUUGCCUCCUAGCAACUGUCCUGGUGCCACACUUGUCUUAAAGCCUGCAGGAGCCCUGGCUGCUCACCCUGCAGUCUGCUCCCCUCACUCGUGUCAGACUGCAAUAGAGCACUCACAAUGCUACCACAGGUGCCCUCCUGCACCAGGCUGCUGCUCCUGUGCCCUGCUCACGUCGAUGGACUAUGGAUCAUAUCAGCAUCUGCAGAAAGGACUGGCGGCUGGCAGAAUGGCAGGCUGAGCAGCGCCAGGCAGAGCCGGAAAUAAUGGCGAAGCUUGCCUGGGGCACAAGGCUGGGAGUCGGAGCCAAGUAGGUAUACAAGACUGAAGGUAAGCGAAAGGUGGGGGCAGGAAUGAUGAACAGGAAGCGAAUGAUUUGGAUGAAUAGCUUCCCUUCAGGGAUAUUGGCCCACCCAGAAGGCUGAACUUGUGACAUUGACACAAAUUCUAUGGAUGGCAGAGGAAACAUCUACACUGACAACAGGUAUGCUUUUGCCACCACCCAUAUACACGGAGCAAUAUACAGACAAAGAGGACUGCUGACACUUGCGGAAAUCUUGAGUCUCCUCACGGCCACACAUUUGCCAAAGAAGAUAGCCAACAUACAUUGGUCAGGACUGAGACAGCCAAUGUAAUGGCUAAGAAGAUCAAAAAAAAAAUCUUCCCGAGGUUUGGGAUGCCCAAGGUAAUCAUGUCCGAUAAUAGACCUGCCUUUGUUGCCCAGUUCUCACAAUAGGCACAACCCUUGUACAUUUGGAUGAAGAUGAAGCUGAUGCUAUAGAACAUAAUGGAAGCCGGUGAAUGUCAUAUGGUGCCAGCUGGGCUGAAGCUAACCUCUCAGGCGCAUUCUCUGGAAUUGAGGAUCAACACUCCCAGUGUCUACAGCAAAGGAGAUUUGUCUUCAUAAUACUGAACUUGCCUUUUAAGGGAAACAUUGUUUUACAAUGAUAAGGCAUCCAUAUGUUUCUUAGGACUGAGAUAGUCAAUAGACUAUUGCCACAAUGAUGGGUGCUAAUCCCAGGUCUGCAAUGGUUCACAAUGUCUACCAUGUAGUUACUUUCAAGCUUCAUUCAUCAGAUAAUUUUACUAAGCGCUAUUCUGAAGUAAUGCUAGUUCUCAUGUGGUUAUUGUCUGAGCAAGUCUUUUGAUUUUGUUUUCAAUAUAUAGCUGGGCCCCUACUUAUUUUGCUUCUUAUCAUUACAGUCGGCCCCUGCAUUUUAAAUCACCUGGUGCAACCUAUGAAAGACAGGCUUUUAGUUAUCCAGACUCUGGUCCUGACCCACCAAUAUCAGCAACUGAGACAAUAGGAGACAGAAAUAUCAUGAUCAGUUUGAGUUAAAGAAUUAACUCAA